rnacentral:lncRNA from 1 species
UGGAGGAGGGGGUGCAGUAGGAGCUUUCGGUGGAGGGGGUGGAGGGGGCGCUGGAGGGGCUUUUGGUGGAGGGGGUGGAGGAGCUUUUGGAGGGGGCGCUGGAGGAGCUUUUGGUGGAGGGGGUGGAGGGGGCGCUGGAGGAGCUUUUGGUGGAGGGGGUGGAGGAGGAAUAGAACCUGGCCUUGCAAGUCCUGCAAUUGGCGGAGGUGGAGGCGGGGGAGGGACAAUAGUAUUAUGGCAUUGGACAGAUAGAGC